GCCUCCACCCACCCAGAAAACGUAUCCACCAGUACCAGGAAGUAUCGGUAAUCUCCAGCAGCGCGGGGCGUUCGGGUGAAGCCCAUCUGCCAGUCUUCCAUCGGCCAUUGCCCUGUGUGUCAGACUCCUCAUUGUGGAGGCCCUGGAGCAGUUUUGGGGAGCGGGUAGAGGAGAGCCUCAGGCACAAGAAUUCUUCCUUGGUCGUUCAUCUUCCAGCCUGUCUGCGGGUCUGAGAGGAAACCUCAGUCUCUUGCACAUUCUGAGUCCCUUUCUGAAUCACCCUGUGGGCAUGGACCACUGAAGAUGCAUAACCGGAAUCUGUAUAAGCAGUCACCUUUUUCCCCAAGAUAGUUGUAAGGCUCGGGCUAGGGCUAUGAUUUCUGCCUUUUGAGUUGAGGUUCCUGGAGGCAGGGCUGCAGCUUCUAAAGUCUCACGUAAAGUCACAGCUGCACAUCUGGCGCAUCUCUUACCCCGAUCCAGGAAGCUGCUGCUGUCUGUGAACAGUUCCAGUUCAGGGUUCUCAAAUGGUCGAUCUUUUAGGUCUGGUUGGCUGGAAUAAACCAUUUCUAUGACUUGUAAACAGUUAUGGUCUGUUGCUUGUGAAGUUUCCUUGGGGAGUAAGGUGGCCGGAUUCUGGAUUGAAGAGACUUGCAACCUGACAUUUGGGUUAUCUAGCACGAUGGCCUGAUAUUUGCCCAUUCUGCCUGACGUGAGCCAAUUUCCUCUCUUCUGUUCCAGUAAGGUGAGGACAGGGUGGGGUACAUAGACAGUGGUGGGUUGGCCUGGAGUGACUUUCUCAGCCUCUUGUAGGAUGUCACAAGUAGCAGCGACGGCUCUGAGACAGGGAGGCCAGCCUUUUACCGUUUGAUCUAAUUGUUUGGAGAA